rnacentral:tRNA from 1 species
CAAGAAAAGGUCAGGAUAGCUCAGUUGGUAGAGCAGAGGACU